GGGGAGUACGGUCGCAAGAUUAAAACUCAAAUGAAUUGACGGGGGCCCGCACAAGCGGUGGAGCAUGUGGUUUAAUUCGAUGCAACGCGAAGAACCUUACCUACUCUUGACAUCCAGAGAAGCCAGCGGAGACGCAGGUGUGCCUUCGGGAACUCUGAGACAGGUGCUGCAUGGCUGUCGUCAGCUCGUGUUGUGAAAUGUUGGGUUAAGUCCCGCAACGAGCGCAACCCUUAUCCUUGUUUGCCAGCGAGUAAUGUCGGGAACUCCAGGGAGACUGCCGGUGAUAAACCGGAGGAAGGUGGGGACGACGUCAAGUCAUCAUGGCCCUUACGAGUAGGGCUACACACGUGCUACAAUGGCGCAUACAGAGGGCAGCAAGCUAGCGAUAGUGAGCGAAUCCCAAAAAGUGCGUCGUAGUCCGGAUUGGAGUCUGCAACUCGACUCCAUGAAGUCGGAAUCGCUAGUAAUCGUGAAUCAGAAUGUCACGGUGAAUACGUUCCCGGGCCUUGUACACACCGCCCGUCACANCCAUGGGAGUGGGCUGCAAAAGAAGUGGGU
rnacentral:rRNA from 1 species